rnacentral:rRNA from 1 species
AUUGAACGCUGGCGGCAGGCCUAACACAUGCAAGUCGAGCGGAUGAAGGGAGCUUGCUCCUGGAUUCAGCGGCGGACGGGUGAGUAAUGCCUAGGAAUCUGCCUGGUAGAGGGGGAUAACGUCCGGAAACGGGCGCUAAUACCGCAUACGUCCUGAGGGAGAAAGGGGGGGAUCUUCGGACCUCACGCUAUCAGAUGAGCCUAGGUCGGAUUAGCUAGUUGGUGGGGUAAAGGCCUACCAAGGCGACGAUCCGUAACUGGUCUGAGAGGAUGAUCAGUCACACUGGAACUGAGACACGGUCCAGACUCCUACGGGAGGCAGCAGUGGGGAAUCUUGGGCAAUGGGCGAAAGCCUGAUCCAGCCAUGCCGCGUGUGUGAAGAAGGUCUUCGGAUUGUAAAGCACUUUAAGUUGGGAGGAAGGGCAGUAAGUUAAUCCCUUGCUGUUUUGACGUUACCAACAGAAUAAGCCCCGGCUAACUUCGUG